rnacentral:rRNA from 1 species
GACGAACGCUGGCGGCGUGCCUAAUACAUGCAAGUCGAACGCAGUGGGGACUGGUGAGUAACACGUGGGUAACCUCCCAUCAGCGGUGAUAACACUUUGAAACAGGUGCUAAACCGAUACUGCUGGAUGGACCCGCGGUGCAUUAGCUAGUUGGUGAGGUAGCGGCUCACCAAGGCCACGAUGCAUAGCCGGCCUGCGAGGGUGAGAGGCCACACUGGGACAGAGGGACGGCCAAGCCUCCUACGGGAGGCAGCAGUGGAGAAGCUGCGGCUAUGGAAGAAUGUCUGACCGAGCAACGCCGCGAGAGUGAAUAAGGUUUUCAGAUCGUAAAAUUCUAUAGUUAGAGAAGCGGUAGGUAACCAGAAAGCCACGGCUAACUACGUGCCAGCCGCCGCGGUAAUUC